rnacentral:tRNA from 1 species
GGAUCUGUAGCUCAGCUGGCAGUAGCACGGAGCUGUUAACUCCGGGGUCGUGGGUUCAAAUCCCACCGGGUCCUCCA